UGGCAGGUAGGCACAUGUAGGUGGAAGA
rnacentral:piRNA from 1 species